rnacentral:misc_RNA from 1 species
GAUGAAGAACGUAGCGAAAUGCGAUAAGUAAUGUGAAUUGCAGAAUUCAGUGAAUCAUCGAAUCUUUGAACGCACCUUGCGCCCCUUGGUUAUUCCAAAGGGCAUGCCUGAUUGAGUAUCAUGAACACCUCAACUCUUGUGGUUUCCCACAAUGAGCUUGGACUGUGGAGGUUUUGUUGGCCCUGUGGUCAGCUCCUCUCAAAUGGAUCAGCUUACCGGUGUUUGGUGGCAUUACGGGUGUGAUAACUAUCUACGCUCGUGGUCGUCUCCAAAUAACCUCCAGUGAUGGAGGUUCGCUGGAGCUUAUAAAUGUCUCUCCCCAGUGAAGACAGCCUUUGAACGUUCGAUCUCAAAUCAGGUAGGACUACCCGCUGAACUUAAGCAUAUCAAUAAGCGGAGGA